rnacentral:rRNA from 1 species
UACGUAGGGUGCGAGCGUUGUCCGGAAUUAUUGGGCGUAAAGAGCUUGUAGGCGGUUUGUCGCGUCUGCUGUGAAAAUCCGGGGCUCAACCCCGGACUUGCAGUGGGUACGGGCAGACUAGAGUGUGGUAGGGGAGACUGGAAUUCCUGGUGUAGCAGUGAAAUGCGUAGAUAUUACUAGGAACACCAAUGGCGAAGGCAGCUUGCUGGGCUACUCCUGACACUGAGGUACGAAAGCGUGGGGAGCGAACAGG